AAGCUUCUUAAGUAGUGAACAAUCACCCACAAAAAACAUUGCCGAACAAUACAGUCCCUUGUGGCAUCCACAUUCGAAGAGUGUCCUGCAAGACUUACUCAUGUAUAAAAAGUUUCAAAAUGGCCUCCAAUCGCCUCGUGGACAAAGCUUAAUGCCAGCGGAGUCCAUGGACACAACUCAGUACGAUGAGGACGACAGUACAACCUCGGGUAGUUACUAUAUCGAAGACAACUCUUUGGAGGAUUGGCAGCACCCUCACCCACCCAUCCAUGACAUCUACGUGUGAUCUCGUGUGAAUAACUCAUCUUUACUGUUGCUGUGAUAAAUAUAGUGCUGAGGGCUGUGUUGUCCAGCUUCUGUUUGCCGAAUACCAUACAUCACUGCAUCAAAGAAAAAAUGGCUGGACAUUAUGCCCCUUCCCUUAUUGCUGUAUUGUGACCUGCUCAAUAUGAAAGACGUAAGGGAGGCAAUUCUUGACUGUGAUAUUUGUGCAAUACUCGAGUGACAGGACUUGAUUCAUAUGCUCAUCGUAACAUGAUUAUUUAUGUAAUUAUUGCCGAUUUUUGAUGUGUUUUGUGUGAACAUUGUUUCAUUUUCAUUCCAAAUGGUGAUCAAUGAAUUGUGCUGAUCGUUUUUAGUUUCGUUGUGGAUUAUUUAUGUAUUUAUCUAACAAAUUUGUAUUUUGUGUUACCUCUGAUGAAUAAAUUUUAUGUAUGGCAUUCUGUGUUAUCAUAAUUGUAAAUGUAUUGUUUUGAUGAACUUUGAAUUUUAACAACCAUUUAUUGCUAAACUGAAAUCAAUAAUAAACAACUUAAAACAAGCA